rnacentral:snoRNA from 2 species
ACGACCUUACUUGAACAGGAUCUGUUCUAUAGGCUCGUACCACUGUAUCCUUGAUUUCUAAGGAGACAGGAAACCAAGUCUGGUUGAUGAAGCAUGGCCAUGUGACCAGAGCGUGAUUAACAGCUUGCUAUGGCUCCUCGAGCUGUGGCAUCAGUAGAUGAUCGUUCUUGAACCUUUGAGAGGUUUGAGAUGGUCUCAUGGCUGUCUGACAGACU